rnacentral:lncRNA from 1 species
GGUGUCGAGGUUAAGGGUUUGGGCGGGGAGCAGAAGCUCCAGCCAUGGUCUUUGGUUCGAAGGAUUGAUGCAAGCUGCAGGCCUGGUGAGGAAAACGAGUUGGGCCAUCACAGGCUACGGGCCUAGUGGCAUAGGUUCGAAUUAACCCUAGAAUUCCCGAUAUGUUUUUUUUUUUAAUUCAAAUAUAAUUAUAUGCAUAUAUAUUUCAAUGAAUCACAUAUUUACUUUGAUGCAGAUGCAAAUAAUAGUUUCAAUGCAUGCACAUAUGUAAGAUUCGAUUCAUGGCAAAUAUCAAAUUCACAUAAUUAUAGCAAUUUUGGUUAUGAGGCAUACACAAUUUAUGUAGAAUCUAAAAUACGUUAAACGUAAAGUUGGGUUAUGCAUCAUGGUGAAUGUUCAUGCUAUCAAGGCUUUGCAAAAUAUCGAGUUAAAAGCCAUUGUUUUGAAAGAACUUGAUUGCGUGAUGAUAUGGAUGAACUGGUUUGAUGCAGAAAAAAAAAUUCUCCAACGUCAGAUUCCUAAGUGCAGUGGUAGAAGCGUGCUGAUAACGUGUUGUGGUCUAUUUUUAUCUGAGAAAGAGAGAGGGGCUGGCAGCACAAGAGAGAGGGAAGAGAGAUGUGUGUUUGUAGAAUUGUAGGGGAAUGUGUGUUGUUAUCCCUCCUACAUUGUGCCUUUAUUUAUAGUAGUAAAGGGAGAGAAGAUAUUCCUUCUUCUCCAAGUAAUACAAGUUGUAAUAGGAAAGGAUAACUAGAAUAAAAUCUAAUCUAGGAUUUACACAAGCAUACUUAAACUAGGAAUGUUCACAACAUAUUAUGGUUUAUAGAGUAUUAAUUAACCAUGACAUUGUUUUUGGCCUACCACUGGAUUUUGCUUCCAAAUAAUUUUUCAAUAAUUUUGGGUCGUUACAGUUUGUUUCUUCUCGAAACGCAGCUUUCCCAGGGCGGCCUUCCACAGGCGGUAAUUUUGGUGGUGCGCUUCAUGGCUUUUGCGUGUUGGUUGUCUGUGAAAGUUGGGAAGGGAAAGUCAACAAUAAAUGCCUGACUUACUAGGCUUAACAUUCAUUUAAUGCAAGAAUCUAAUUUAGUCCUAACUAAUGUAAUUGGCUUGCUAGGGAAAUGGAUAAACUAGGCUAGUUCUCUCUCAAUGAUGUAUGCUUGAAAUGCAAAAGGUAUGCGCUUGGAUCUUUAGGCCCCAAGCAACCCAAACUAUUCCAUGACCCUGAUUCCACGUAGGUCUGAUAAACUUCCGUAACCAUCCACACCACAAUUCACUUGACAAGCCCCUAAUACGUUAGGCUUAGCAUAGAUAAUGAGUAAGGAAACAUGGCGUGAUAAAUAGGUGGACUUGGCAAUUUCUUACACGACACGAAAAUAACGAGUUUCGAGUCCACAUGAUAACUAAUCAGGUCAUUAUUGGGUCACACAAUAAUAACGGGUCCUUAACAAGUUUACACGAGAGUGACACGUAGGUAACCUGUUUCGACACGAUAAGAAAAAAAGUUAUUUUAAUGAUUUUAAACUACUAAAAAAACUUACUAUAAAAUACAAUAGAUAUAAUGAAUAUGUAUAUAUUGUUUUUUA